CUACAUCUUCGCUAGCCAAGGGUUACGAUCCACUCCCGUUCUCUUCACCCUUGGCAGAUUGAGCCAACAUUUGUGAAAGUAAUGUUGCGCCAUCUAUCGGAAGAUUAAAGUCACGCCCAUUCCGAAUACAUUAUUCUUGACCAAUGGUAGCACUUGAACUUUUCAAUUUGGAGGUAAAAACACGGUAGCGUCUAGAACCUACACGCUUGAUAAAGCCGGAAACGAAAAUAUACGUCAACAUUCAUGCUUUUGUGCAUGAAACAUACACAGGAACUUCUUCUUUUUGAUUAAAAACAUUCAAGUUGUCACUAAAUAUAGUCGUAUGAUUAUAGAAUGUAAAGACUUGUUGCACAAUAAACACGUGGCAAUUGUUUACAAACACUUUCUACAUUUACACGUGAUCAUGUUAUAGGCGCUUUUUGAUUGGAUGCAGCGAGUUUCGACUGCAACCAAUAAAAAUCCUUACCUUGUGUCUCCGAAAUUUUAUCUCAAUCCGCCAAGGGUGAAGAGAACGGGAGUGGAUCGUAACCCUUGGCUAGCGAAGAUGAGUC
rnacentral:lncRNA from 1 species